rnacentral:rRNA from 1 species
GGUUGUAAAGCCCUUUUGUUGGGAAAGAAAAGCAGUCGGUUAAUACCCGAUUGUUCUGACGGUACCCAAAGAAUAAGCACCGGCUAACUUCGUGCCAGCAGCCGCGGUAAUACGAAGGGUGCAAGCGUUACUCGGAAUUACUGGGCGUAAAGCGUGCGUAGGUGGUGGUUUAAGUCUGUUGUGAAAGCCCUGGGCUCAACCUGGGAAUUGCAGUGGAUACUGGGUCACUAGAGUGUGGUAGAGGGUAGCGGAAUUCCCGGUGUAGCAGUGAAAUGCGUAGAGAUCGGGAGGAACAUCCGUGGCGAAGGCGGCUACCUGGACCAACACUGACACUGAGGCACGAAAGCGUGGGGAGCAAACAGGAUUAGAUACCCUGGUAGUCCACGCCCUAAACGAUGCGAACUGGAUGUUGGGUGCAAUUUGGCACGCAGUAUCGAAGCUAACGCGUUAAGUUCGCCGCCUGGGGAGUACGGUCGCAAGACUGAAACUCAAAGGAAUUGACGGGGGCCCGCACAAGCGGUGGAGUAUGUGGUUUAAUUCGAUGCAACGCGAAGAACCUUACCUGGUCUUGACAUCCACGGAACUUUCCAGAGAUGGAUUGGUGCCUUCGGGAACCGUGAGACAGGUGCUGCAUGG